AAGUAUAUGAGGUGAUUAAUUGGAGGGCAAAUCAAGUGCCAGCAGCCGCGGUAAUACUUGUUCCAAGAGUGUGUAUGAUGAUUGAUGCAGUUAAAAAGUCCGUAGUUUAUUUUUUAAAAAGGGAGUUGGGAAAAGAGAAUGGACACCCAA
rnacentral:rRNA from 1 species